UGUAAGCGUAUACCAAAGUUGUUGCAGUUAAAACGCUCGUAGUCGGAAUUUGGCAGUUCCGGAUGUGUGCACGUCGUGUGCGCACUUCGCGGGGAUUGCUUUUGUGGUCUUGCGUAGGAUGAGGCACUUUUAUUAGUGAACGUCCUCACGCAACCACUUUUUACUGUGAGAAAAUCAGAGUGCUCAAAGCAGGCAUUUGCCGUGAAUGUAUUAGCAUGGAAUAAUAGAAUAGGACUUGGUUCUAUUUUGUUGGUUUGUUGGGACUGAGUAAUGAUUAAGAGGGACAGUUGGGGGCAUUUGUAUUUCGGUGCUAGAGGUGAAAUUCUUAGAUUACCGAAAGACAAAUUGCUGCGAAAGCGUCUGCCAAGGAUGUUUUCAUUGA
rnacentral:rRNA from 1 species